rnacentral:rRNA from 1 species
UGGGGAAUUUUGGACAAUGGGCGAAAGCCUGAUCCAGCAAUGCCGCGUGUGUGAAGAAGGCCUUCGGGUUGUAAAGCACUUUUGUCCGGAAAGAAAUCCUUGGCUCUAAUACAGUCGGGGGAUGACGGUACCGGAAGAAUAAGCACCGGCUAACUACGUGCCAGCAGCCGCGGUAAUACGUAGGGUGCAAGCGUUAAUCGGAAUUACUGGGCGUAAAGCGUGCGCAGGCGGUUUGCUAAGACCGAUGUGAAAUCCCCGGGCUCAACCUGGGAACUGCAUUGGUGACUGGCAGGCUAGAGUAUGGCAGAGGGGGGUAGAAUUCCACGUGUAGCAGUGAAAUGCGUAGAGAUGUGGAGGAAUACCGAUGGCGAAGGCAGCCCCCUGGGCAAUACUGACGCUCAUGCACGAAAGCGUGGGGAGCAAACAGGAUUAGAUACCCUGGUAGUCCACGCCCUAAACGAUGUC